rnacentral:lncRNA from 1 species
AUGCCAAGGAAACAUUCCUCAGACUCGGGGUCUAUGGUCAGAGCUGGCUGUAAUUAUCCAAACCGAGGUCCAAGCAGGAGAAGCAAGCAUGGGAGUGAAAAAGGGAACAGACUGUUUCCCAUGCUGUGCACAGUCACUGGAUCUUCACAGAGGCAGGAGGAGCAAGUAAUGAACCACCCCUUGAAGACUGGGCAGCUACACUAAAUGGUUAUAGAAAAUUGGAGCAGAACUUGAGAAGGGAAGAGAAGCAUAAACUCUUCAGUGAAUUGUUGGAUGGGUUAGGAGGUGACAAAGCUAUUGCUGCUUCAUAAUAAGCAUGAAGAGAUCUGUGUCCUUAGGGAAUAUGCUCAAAAAAUGUGUAAAUUGAGGAGUUCCUGCUGUGGCACAGUGGGUUAAGAAUCCAAAUGUAGCAGCUCUGGCCUCUCUGGAGGUAAGGGUUUGAUCCCCAGCCUCACUGGAUCCCUGGAUUCUUGGGUUAAAGAGUCUGGCAUUGCCACAGCUGAGGCUCUGAUUCAAUCCCUGGCCCAGGAACUUCCCUAUGCGGUGGGUUUGGCCAUUAAAAAAAAGAACGAGUAAAUUGAGACUUCAAAGAGAGACAAAUUGAACCAUAUUAAGUAUAAGCCAGACAGAAGAUUAAAUUUUGGCUAGGGUUUGUUAUUGUUGUAGUGAGAUUAUCCAUUCUAGGGUGGUGAACGUAACUUUGGAACAUAAGGAACUCACUGACUUCAUGGCCUUACCUCAGAGAUGUAAAGAGUAUGGUUUGAAAAAAAAAUAAAACAAAUGGCCAGGACUGAGGGACA